AGUGAACGCUGGCGGUAGGCCUAACACAUGCAAGUCGAACGGCAGCACAGUAAGAGCUUGCUCUUACGGGUGGCGAGUGGCGGACGGGUGAGGAAUACAUCGGAAUCUACUUUUUCGUGGGGGAUAACGUAGGGAAACUACGCUAAUACCGCAUACGACCUACGGGUGAAAGCAGGGGAUCUUCGGACCUUGCGCGAUUGAAUGAGCCGAUGUCGGAUUAGCUAGUUGGCGGGGUAAAGGCCCACCAAGGCGACGAUCCGUAGCUGGUCUGAGAGGAUGAUCAGCCACACUGGAACUGAGACACGGUCCAGACUCCUACGGGAGGCAGCAGUGGGGAAUAUUGGACAAUGGGCGCAAGCCUGAUUCAGCCAUACCGCGUGGGUGAAGAAGGCCUUCGGGUUGUAAAGCCCUUUUGUUGGGAAAGAAAAGCAGCAGGUUAAUACCCCGCUGUUCUGACGGUACCCAAAGAAUAAGCACCGGCUAACUUCGUG
rnacentral:rRNA from 1 species